rnacentral:rRNA from 1 species
CACGUAGGGGCGCGAGCGUUUGUCCGGAAUUAUUGGGCGUAAAGAGCUCGUAGGCGGCCUGUUGCGUCCGCUGUGAAAGCCCGGGGCUUAACCCCGGGUCUGCAGUGGAUACGGGCAGGCUAGAGGUAGGUAGGGGAGAAUGGAAUUCCCGGUGUAGCGGUGAAAUGCGCAGAUAUCGGGAGGAACACCGGUGGCGAAGGCGGGUCUCUGGGCCGUAACUGACGCUGAGGAGCGAAAGCGUGGGGAGCGAACAGG